GCACCGGCAGGUAGGGCGGCUCCAGCGCGCGCGGCGGCCCGUACGCCUCGGGCGGCGGGUUGGCGUAGGGCGGGUACCAGCCCAGGCGUGGGUCUCCGCCAUGGGCCUGCGCCGCCUCGGGACCGGGGUCAGGGUGCCACGGCUUACCAAUGGAAGAUUAGGCCAGAUGGCUCCUGAGAGUGCUUUGGGAGAUUCUCUGUUCCUUCUGGGAAUGGCAGGGAUAGGAGGGGGUCCCAGAAGUUUGAACGCUUUGGCAUCCAAGAAAUCACACUCCAAAUACUGCUCUUCUGGCCUCCCCUGGGCUGCCUUCUCCAACCGUGUUCCUGGGAACCGAAGGGCAGAAAUUGCCCUCUUGGGCUUAUAAACAAGGAGCUCCUGCCUGCCUGGAUGAAGAGGAGGUCAAGACUUUGUCCCCCACUCCGCAAGAUACCCUCUCUGUUCCGGAGCGGUGGGUCCCUCCCCUGUUAGGACCUUGUCUCCCUCAGGACUGGACCUGGAUCCUGGGCCUGCAGUCAGAUUGCCAGUUUCACUUAGAGGUGGAAAUGUCAACCCACUGGUUGGAAUGGGAAGGUGAGACAGGAUUUCACCAUGUUAGCCAGGAUGGUCUUGAUCUCCUGACCUCAUGAUCUGCCCACCUCGGCCUCCCAAAGUGCUGGGCUUACAGGCGUGAGCCACCGUGCCCGGCCAAAAAUAACUUUUAAAAACAUGAGUAUAGCAUACACACACACAAAAGUCCACAAAUCCUAGGUGUACCACUUGAUGAAUGAUCCCAACGUGAGCACACCUCUGGAUUACCACCUGGAUCAAGAAAUAGGACAUCACAGCAGCUGGCAGCUUCCAAGGAGAAGCUCUGGAAAGUUCUGCCUGUCUCAGCACCUGGCUGGAUCGGAAACGAGUUUUCUUUAACCAGAUUUUUAAUGACUGACUUAUGUGGACAAAUCAUAACUGAAUGAAUCACCUCCUUUGUUGAUUUUUUUGGGUACUUUAUUUGCUAUUAUAAAUGAUGCUGUAAUAAGCACCCUUGAAGAAAUCUUCAUAUCUGCCUCUCCUGUGUAGCAGGUCACAGUGCCUGGGUUUGGUUCUAGCCCUCAUUUGUGAACUGUGUGACUCACCAUGCCUUUUUUCUUUCUGUAAGACAGGAAUAAUGGUAAGAAUUUAAAUGGGGGUAAUAUGGAGCGCGUUUAGUUCAGAGCCUGGUGCAUACAAGCACUCAAUAAGUACUGGCGAUUAUUAGACCUUUAGAUUAAUUUAUUAGAAGUUGGAUUUCUGGUGAAAGGGUUUGAGUGUUUUUGAGGCUUUGGCACAGAAUACCCAGCUGGUCCCAGAAAGGUGGUUCCCAUUUACCUGCCCGAAGGUAAUUCACCCUUACUGAUACUGAGUACUGUUUUCUAAAAGAACAUUAAAAAUUGGAUAGGUUAAAAACAGGUGAAUACAUUUUUUUAGUUGCAUUUUUUUGGUUACCCGUGAGAGUGAACAUGUUGCCAUGUGUUUGCUGACCUCCUAAAUGGUCUAUUUGCUCCUACCUUUGUACCCCAAAAGUCUGCUCUCAAGAUGGUAGCCAGAAUGAUCCUUUUUGAGACAUAAGUCAAAAUUUCACUCUUCUCCUUAAAGCUCUGCAAUGGUUCUCAGGUUAAAAGCCAAAGUCCUGUUCAAGGCCUCCAGGGUCCUCACCACUUGGUCCCUUGCUCUUUCUGUUCUAGCCAACUUGGCCUUCUCCUGCCCCUCCGCCGCACCAUGGCAAUUUCCCCUGCUCUGUGUGGUCAACUACCUGAAUCUGUUCAAAGCUUUGCUCAAAUGUCUCCUUCCUGAUGAGACCUCCCCAGCCCCUGAGCUCCCCAUGCCUCACUCCUGAUCGCCUUACUUAACCCUUCUUUUUCUUUUUUGCCAGUAGUACUUAUCACCGUCUAAAAUACUUCAUAAUUUACUUGUUUAUUGUUUGCCCCUCUCCAAUAGAAUGUAAGCUCCUUGGGGCAGGGACCUUUGUCCUUUGUCUUGUUCACUGCUGUGUCCCAUGUGUAAACUUGUCUGGCACAGAAGAGGUGCUCGAUAAAUAUUUGUUGAGUGAAUGAAUGGUAAAUUUUCUGUUCAUAUUCUUUGACUAUUUUCUAUUGUAAUGUUCAUCUUUUUAGUAUUGGUUUAUAAGAUGUAUAUUUAGCACCUUUUCAUAUAUCACUCUUUGUCACAUAUUAUGCAACUAAUUUGUCAUUUCCAUCAAUUUUUAAAAUACUUUCUUGAUGCUUCAUUUUUAAGCUGUCAGAUUAUUAAUCUUUUCUUUAUGGUCUUGGACUUUAUUGUUGCAUAACCGCUGCCUUCACCAGGAACAUAUAAAUUUUCAAUUAAAUGUUCUUCUGAGAUUUUAUGAUUUCACUUUUUAUAUUAAACUCUUCAUUUUGUCUUCAUGUGUGGUGAGAGGUAAGAACAUAACUUUAAAGCAAAUUAACCAACUAUCCCCAAAUGAAUUAUAAAUAAAUUAAUCAUUUUCCAAU
rnacentral:lncRNA from 10 species